rnacentral:snRNA from 1 species
GGAUGUGAGGGCAAUCUGGCUGUGACAUCUGUCACCCCAUUGAUCGCCAGGGUUGAUUGGCUGAUCUGGCUGGCUAGGCCAGUGGCGCCUUCCUCCGUCACUGCUCCAUGUGUGUCCCUCCCAAAGCUGCGCACUCUGUCAAAGAGGACGACCUUCCCCGAUAGAGGAGAGGACUGUUCUUCCAUCAAGGCUGUACAAGUAGCUGCGCUCCCCUGCUAGAAUCUGCAAACAAGCUCUCAAGAAUUUGAGGUUCUGGGGCACCUGGCUGACUCAAUCAGUAGAGCAUGUGUUUCUUGAUCU